rnacentral:rRNA from 1 species
CGGGUGAGUAACGCGUGGGUAACCUGCCUCAUACAGGGGGAUAACAGUUAGAAAUGACUGCUAAUACCGCAUAAGCGCACGGAACCGCAUGGUUUUGUGUGAAAACUCCGGUGGUAUGAGAUGGACCCGCGUCUGAUUAGCUAGUUGGCGGGGUAACGGCCCACCAAGGCGACGAUCAGUAGCCGACCUGAGAGGGUGGCCGGCCACAUUGGGACUGAGACACGGCCCAAACUCCUACGGGAGGCAGCAGUGGGGAAUAUUGCACAAUGGGGGAAACCCUGAUGCAGCAACGCCGCGUGAGUGAAGAAGUAUUUCGGUAUGUAAAGCUCUAUCAGCAGGGAAGAAAAAGACGGUACCUGACUAAGAAGCCCCGGCUAACUACGUG